GGNGCUCAGUUGGCUAGAGCACACGGUUCAUACCCGUGGUGUCGAGGGUUCGAAUCCCCCUCUCG
rnacentral:tRNA from 1 species